rnacentral:rRNA from 1 species
UACGUAGGGUGCAAGCGUUGUCCGGAAUUAUUGGGCGUAAAGAGCGUGUAGGCGGCCCGGUAAGUCCGCUGUGAAAGUCCAGGGCUCAACCCUGGGAUGCCGGUGGAUACUGGCGGGCUAGAGGUCGAUAGGGGUGAGCGGAACUCCAGGUGGAGCGGUGAAAUGCGUAGAUAUCUGGAGGAACACCGGUGGCGAAAGCGGCUCACUGGAUCGAAACUGACGCUGAGGUGCGAAAGCGAGGGUAGCAAACGGG